CCCAGGCGCCCUGGGCCCCGGGCCCCGUGGGUGCCCCGCGCUUCGCUCCCUCGCCCCCUUCCUGCUCCAGCGGGGGACCCAGCUUCUCCCUGCGCCCUCCUGCUGCCGCGCCGGCUGGCGCCGAGCUGUACAUACCGUGUGCAAAGUGUACAUGAAGUUAUUUAUUCGUGACCCCCGAGCCCGUGACCGUGUCUGUGAAUCAGUGAGUCUGUGGCCCGUGCCUCCCUUCCCGGGUGGGAGAGCAGGGCCCGGGGGACCUGCUCGCCGGCCCCGGCCCCCAGUGUCCACCUCUGUCCCGGCCCGGGGCAGCCAGGCCUCUUGGGUUCCCUCUCUCUCUUUUUUAAAUGUCGAAAUAAACUUCUUACAAAUGACCAGGCCCUGUCCGCGCUCCCAUCGUCAGUCCACGCCCCGGCCCUGCCCGACCCUCCGCAGAGCCAUUUGCCUCUCCUGGGGCUCAGUCUCCUGCUAGCCUCAACGAGAGGACAGUUUUGUCCCCCUCCCUUCCUGGGUGCUGCAGUCGUUGGCAGGGGACCCGGCUGGACGUGCAGUGUCCUGGCAGCAGGCGCCCGGCCUGACAGGCCUCAGUCUUUCCGUGUGGAUGGCGAGGGAAGUGCGAGGGAAGCUUGCUCCCACCUCCCCUCUCCAUCUGCUUCCUCAAGGCUCCCACAGUCCUGGGCUGGGCGGGGGUCAGUGCCCGGCCGCCCUUGCUGCCGCCGGGCUGUGGUGCCCUCGCUGAGCCGACUCAUCUGGCUGCAACGAGGGCGCCGGCAGCUGGUGACCGGCCCGCUGGGCACAGGCCGCCAGAUGGACUCCGAGGCCGCUCCCUGUCACAUUGCCCUCCGCCCGGCUGCCCCAGCACCCAUGGGGUCUGACACCGGUGGGCACCGAGCAGCUCCUGGCCCGUGUGCCUGCUAGGACCCCACGCACCCUCUCCAUGGGCCUGAUGCAGUAUUGGAUAAUCCUCUACUCUCGAAACACCUCUCUUUCCAGCUGCCCUGGGAGGAAGUUGGAAGUAAGAGCCAGAGAGGAGCCAACCCCACGUCUGGGCCCAGGGUCAGGCCUGGGGGGCUCUGAGUCCCCAGCCAGGCUGCAGAUCACGUUCUGAGGGUCAAGGUCACCUCCCAAGAACGUUCCCACUGGGGAAGGCGGGCUCAGGUGCCCCUCCCGGGAAGUCUGGGCGCCCAGCAGGCUGGGCCAUGGCCCCCUUCCCCCUUUCCAGCGGGCGGAAUAGCUCUGGGAGAAGUUGGGGCAGGAGACGGACAGGGUGUGUUCAGGCUGUAACCCCAAACCAGACUCACAGGUCUGCUACUGUUUCCUCCCCCUUCUUCUUGCGAGGGUGAGGGUAUUAUUCUAAUUUUGCAAAAUGCACAGCAGCUAAUUAAGUCAAGGGGCCCUCGGCUUUUGAGUUCUUUUGCAUGUGAAUGGGGGCUGGUAAAUCCCCAGCUCUGGCUGCGGUGGGGGCCAGGGGGGCCUGUCCCCAACUCAGGGUUAAUGAAGUGAGAAAGGAGUCUCUCAUAGCCUCCUGCAAACAAAACCCCCCAGGCAACAAACCCUGCCCAAAUCCUACAUGGAUUGACUUAAACCCGGGGGAUAAGUGCUUUAAAUUAAUCUCAUUGAAUAAGAAUGAGACCAAACAAAACUCUUUAAAAUCAUAUUAAAAAUCUAUCAAAGGACAACUUGCGCUGGUGUGCUUUUCAUUUUGUGAAAGUGGAGGAGGUAGGCUGGAGCAACCACCCUUACAUUUACACAGCCACAGUGUAAAUCACAGACACAUUCUCAACUAUGUCACCGUCCUUGUACCUCAGAGGCGAUUUCAUAUCUUACAUUAAUGAAGAACAAGGCUCCUUUACACGUUUAUAAUUACAGCACUUUGAAUUGUCCUGCACAUCCUAUCUGUAAUAAUAACUUCAGUCUGCAGCGAGGUGGGCUUCUUCGUGCCUGUUUGGAGGUGCUAAGGGUUUCUGCUCCCAACCGGGCGAUGGGAACAUUUGAGGGAGGAGGAAGAGGAGGCCCCCAGGGGACCCCCAACUGGAGGGCAGUGGAUGAGGCCGCUGGCUCACCCUCUCACAAACCUGGACUCGGUGGGGAGGAGCAGUGGAGCCCAAGAGCUCAGUCCCCCCAGGCCUCAGACACAGAGCUCUUGGGACCUGACGAGUUGGCUGGUUUUAAAGGUGGCCCCGCCCCACCCCAGUGACAGGCCUUGCUCUAAAUUUUUCCUAUGGCAGAGCAGAUGAAGAAAGUUUAACGGUCACACAGGCAGUCUAACAAGACCGCUUAAGCACCUUUUGCAAGCAGGGCAGCUUCGGGGUGGAAAAGCCUUGCGCCUGUCCCUAGGACUUUAACGGCUUCCACUGACCGGAUGUGAAGUGCUGAAGUGCUCCACAAGGCCAUGGCCAGUUGGGACACCUCAGACCCUUCUACUCCCCUUUUCUAUUUUUUGGUGCCGGGGAUCAAACUCUGGUCCUUUCGCUUUCCAGGCAGGCGGCGGAACUACUGAGCUAAAUCCCUGGCCCUUUACUCCCCUUUUCACUCUAGGGGGCAAAGAGAAAAAUCAAAGGGACCCCAAGGGCUUUGUCAGUGUCCUUCGAAGCGCUCUGUUUGGUAAGGGCGGAGGACGCUGUCCGCAUCCACACAGCAACUUAGCCGGCACCAAGGGAUCUCUGCUCCAGGGAGGCAUGAGAAUGGCCUCUGCUGAGUGGAUCACCACACCAGGUGCUUCAGAUUCCAA
ensembl:lncRNA